UACGUAGGGACCGAGCGUUGUCCGGAAUCAUUGGGCGUAAAGAGCGUGUAGGCGGCCAACUAAGUCCUGCGUGAAAUCCCGGGGCUCAACCUCGGAACUGCCUUUGAUACAGCACGUCUCGAGUCCGGAAGAGGUGGGUGGAAUUCCUAGUGUAGAGGUGAAAUUCGUAGAUAUUAGGAAGAACACCGGUGGCGAAGGCGGCCCACUGGUCCGGUACUGACGCUGAGGUGCGAAAGCGUGGGGAGCAAACAGG
rnacentral:rRNA from 1 species